rnacentral:ncRNA from 1 species
GAACGACAAUGGCAAACUUGUUGAAAAACAGGGGCGCAACGCCACGGGUCUAAGGCCAUUCGAAGGAAUGGUUAUGACAGCCGGUUGCAUAA